rnacentral:rRNA from 1 species
CAGCCUGCCCAGUGAUAAAUUUAACGGCCGCGGUACCCUAACCGUGCAAAGGUAGCAUAAUCACUUGUUCUUUAAAUAAGGACUUGUAUCAACGGCAUCACGAGGGUUUUACUGUCUCCUCUCUCCAAUCGGUGAAACUGAUCUCCCCAUGAAAAAGUGGGGAUAAACUUAUAAGACGAGAAGACCCCAUGGAGCUUUAAAACCUAUAGCAACCUAGCAAAACAUUUCCAUCUAGCUAUAAAACGAUGCUCAAGGACUUUAGGUUGGGAGGACCACGGAGCACAAGAUAACCUCCGUAAUGAAAAGAAUAAAAUCUUUACCAAAGAGCCACAACUCUAAGAAUUAGAAAACUAACGUACAUGACCCGAUAUCGAUCAAUGAACUAAGUUACCCUGGGGAUAACAGCGCAAUCCACUCUGAGAGUUCAUAUCGACGAGCGGGCUUACGACCUCGAUGUUGGAUCAGGGUAUCCUGGUGGUGCAGCCGCUACCGAAGGUUCGUUUGUUCAACGAUUAAAACCC